ensembl:snRNA U1 U1 spliceosomal RNA
AUACUUACCUGGCAGGGGAGAUACCAUGAUCACGAAGGUGGUUUUCCCAGGGCGAGGCUUAUCCAUUGCACUCCGGAUGUGGGAAACUCGACUGCAUAAUUUGUGGUAGUGGGGGACUGCGUUCGCACUUUCCCCUG